rnacentral:lncRNA from 1 species
GCUUUACUUCUUCCACUACUUAAAGAACCAGUAAGACGCCCCCUUCCAGUGGAGGGGGCAGCUUGUUGCAGCCCAUUACCACCCUUUGUUCCGGGAGGUGGAGGUGGCGGUGGACCUGGCCCACCACUACGACCUGGAGGUGGAGGUGGAGGUGGUCCACCACUGCGACCUGGUGGUGGAGGUGGAGGUGGUCCUGGUGGACCUGUGCGACCUGGAGGUGGGGGUGGAGGUGGACCUGGUGGACCUGCACCAUUGCGGCCUGGAGGUGGAGGUGGAGGUGGAGGUGCACCAGGUGGCUUGGUUACUGAAGAAACUGUUCCUUGACGUGGAGCUCCAGGAGGGGGAGGAGGGAGCGGCGGUGGUGGUGGUCCAGGGGUAGCACUGGCUUUAGUAGCCACGCCAAAUGGAGGUGGAGGUGGGGGUGGGGGUGGUGAACUCUUGGAAAAACUAGAAGUAGAAGCGAUGGGAGGUGGUGGUGGUGGUGGAGCACCUCUUGAAGAAACAGGUGGAGGUGGAGGCGGAGGUGGUGGUGGUGGUGGAGCACCUCUUGAAGAAACAGGUGGAGGUGGAGGCGGAGGUGGUGGUGGUGGUGGAGCACCUCUUGAAGAAACAGGUGGAGGUGGAGGCGGAGGUGGUGGUGGUGGUGGAGCACCUCUUGAAGAAACAGGUGGAGGUGGAGGCGGAGGUGGUGGUGGUGGUGGAGCACCUCUUGAAGAAACAGGUGGAGGUGGAGGCGGAGGUGGUGGUGGUGGAGGUGGCAGUGGUGGAAGGGUCUUUGUGGAGAUAGGAGGCAAAGUGGGAGGUGGUGCUAUAGCAUCAUCUAAACUAUCAACAGGAACAUGUUUUGGUGAUGCUAAAGAACCAUUCACAUUACUUAAAUCAGCACUU